GUUAUUAGGUGACCCGUUCAAGGCCCAGGAAAUUGCUCUGUGAUCUUAGUAAAUUUCCCUGAACGAAAUCUGUGCUUCGUCAAAAUACAAUGUGUAAGUUUUAGUACACAACAAUACUGAUGCCCUAAAGUUGAACAAAAUAAUUUGAAAUAAGCUCUAUUAGAAAACGCUUAUAAACACGUUCCAAUGAGUAUUUUGAACAACGGAGCAUGUGAAUGUUUAUAUUACCUUUCUUACGUUUCAGGCAGCCAUGGGUGCUAAGCAUGCUGCAUUUCUUUUGGUGCUGAUGGCCCUUUCUGUCAAACUAAAUGAAGGUAAUUACAUGGGUAAACAAACGACUUGUUAUGGUAGACAAAAGCCUAAUUGCCUCAUGAAGUAGAAUGGCAAAUUGCUCCAUCAAUGCAGCCCACCAGAAACCCCGUGCCCUAUUCCGUGGAGGUUUUUUUGUACUGGAGGGAGUGAGCUUACUUGCCCAUAUCGAAAUACAAC